rnacentral:snRNA from 1 species
GUGCUCGCUGCGGCAGCACGUGUCCUAACAUUGGAACACCGCAAAGAUUACCAUGGCCCCUGCGCAGGGAUGACAUGCAGAUUCAUGAAGCGUUUCUUAGUUUU